ACCUGGGUAGCUCAGUUGGUUGGGCAUCUGACUUCGGCUCAGGUCAUAAUCUCACCGUCCGUGGGUUCGAGCCCGCAUCAGGCU
rnacentral:tRNA from 1 species